ACGUGGCUAUUCCUUGUUAAUAUAUAAACCCAAAACUCAUGAAACACCGAGAAAAACACAAAAACAGAGGCGUCGAUCGAUUUGGGGAAAACAGAGUAGAAGCUAGGGUUUCAAUCUUUUAAUCCAAUUCGAGCACGAUUCAGGUGAGGGUCGAGUUUAUAAACAUGCUUAUAUGUGUAUGUAUUACUUGUUUGUGAUUGGAAUUGUUGGGAUUGAAAGGGAUGGCCUGAACUAGCGGCGGCCGGAGUGGUGCGGUGGCUGGUGUUGGCUGAUGAAAGAGAUGGGUUGUAUAUGUGUUGGUGUUCGAUCAUGGAGUAUGGGGCUGAUUGUUUGUCGGAGGAAAAGGGAGGGCGACGGUAGGUAGUUGUUUGUUGGCUGGCCGGCGUUUGUAUCUGCAGCAGAGAGAGCGGCAACCCCGCGUUGUUGGAACUCAGGAUGGUGGCAGUCGAGUUGUGGGUGUUGGUUAGUAGUGGGGUGUUGCGCAGUUGAAGAGAGGCGGUGACAAGCGGCAUGGACGUAGGUGGCCAGUGGGUCUGUUCGAGGGAGAGCGACCGGUGGCUGUGCGUGGGUAGGCCAGCGCCGCCGUGAGGCUGUGUUACCGCCGUGGGAAUUUGGAGCUGUUUGAAGGGUGUCGAGAUGCCAAGUCUGGCUGGGAAUUUGCUUGUGUGAGGGGGCUGCUGCGUUUCCGGUAGUUGAGUAGAUUGGAGCAGAAUCGCAGGGGAAGUGAGGGACUGUUUUGAAGGAGAUGAUGGUGGUGAGUUGUUUUAGUUAUUGUUGGCGUUUACAAAGUUACACUGGAGUCGUGGUGGAAGAAGCCGGGGCGGGACAGAACUUGGUUGUGGGUUGAUUUGGAUGUAUUUGGUUUGUGGUGGGUUAGAAGAUAUAGAUUGGGGCAUGACGGAGGAGUAGUGGAUUAAUAGUUCAAGGUUGGUAACAAAAAGCAUCAGCCAGUGAGACUGAUAGAGAUGGGGAUGGAGAUGGAAAAAAAGGCUUUGGAUUUGUUAUGUUUAGCUGCACCUGGCACCACCUGGAGGUGGUUGUUUUCGGUUUAGUUGUUAGCAGGGGGAGCAACUGUUGGCAUGUUGUGAUGGUGCAUGUUUGUAUGAGUUGGAAAUUGGUUGAGGUAAACUACUGGGUUGAGAGAGGGGAGGCUGCAGAAGGAUGCAGUGGUGAUUGUUGGAGUGGAUUCAAAUGGCCAGAAAUCCGGCUAUUGCUUAUGAAACUAAACCAGAUAGGCCGAGAGAUAGAUAUUUUAUUAAUUAAUUAUGUAUUGUUGAGUUAUUAUUAUUAUCGGUAUUAUUAUUAUUAUCGGUUCAAUUGAUAAUGAUAAUGAUAAGUGAUACUUUUAAUAAUCUUAAUGAUUAAUAAUUGAUUAAAUUAUAUUCUAUUUCUGUCUCGAGUAUUGACGAAUAAAGUCGAUCGAGACGUGUACAUCAGCGACUUUCAGAAGCCAGAAAUUAGUGAUGCAAAUCAAGCCAGAAAUAAUUUGAUAAGGCGAUAUUGUGCCGUGAGAUAGUCCAAUAGAGUGUAGUGAUGUCAGAGAGUAGCAAUUGAGGCCAAGUUAGGAAUCUCGAGUAGUGUGACCGAGUUGUCACCUAUUUUUUUAUCAGAGGCAAGUAUUUCUAUUCUUCUCUUUUAUUUAAAGAGCAAGUAUUUUAACUCUCUCUUUUGAUAAUGCAGUUUUCUAUUUAUGCAUGACUUGUAUUUCCCACAAGCAUUCAUACCUUUAUAUUGUGAAUUAAAAUAUCGAAUAUCUUUAGUUCGAUACUUUUUACUGUUAUAUGUGCAGUGACAACUUUAUUUGAAAAACAUUCUGAUUAUUUUAAUCAGUUUUCUAGAAAGAUUAUUGUCUGAGUUACUUUACAAUUUGGAACUAUUGAUGACUCUAGAGUAGUCAUAUUUCGAUACUACAAUAUAUGCCUGGUAUCCUGUCCCAGACAUAAACCCUAGAUUUUAAAUAACUAAAUAACUCUGUUGAUUGCUUUUCACCGUAUUGUGGUGGAUUUAAAACUAUACUCAGACUUUAAUGAAAUUUAUUUUGACAGUAUUUUGAGUUUGAAAACUAAAGAGUUUUCUGGAAAAGUUUCGAAAUGAUGAUUUUAUGGUGUAUGGGGCUAUUUAAUACUCCAGCCAGAUAGACCAGCAAAAUGUUGUGUUAAUAAUAGAUGAUUAGUCAUCUGCUUCUGGAAGAAAUCAGAAGAUUUCUUUGUUUUUGCGUAAGAGACCGAGACGGCGGUCCAGCGGAGGGCUAUUUGGGUAUUAUUGAAAUAUUAUAAUACUUUUCUGCCAAAGGCCAAUGUGUUGCCUUGUAUUGGUACCUAUUUUGAGACAUGUUUCCACGAAACAUGCCCGGUAUUAUCACACGGGUUGAUCAACUGUGAUAGUACGCCGUUGUUUAAAACCUGGUCAUUAUUGUUUAAGCUUGUGAUAGCUUAUGUUACUGUCAAAUAUAUUUUGUGAUUUUCAAGCAUAUUGAUAUAUAUGUUUGAUAACUUUUGAGUUACAACUGUUGUGAUUUACUUCAAAAGUUUGUUUUAUUUCAAAUACUCUGAUUUAAUUCAAAAGAAAUUAUAUCUUGUGGCUCUUUCCUUUUAUAUUAUCUUGCUGAGCAUCUUCGCUCACUCUUGCUAUUAUUUCUAAUCCUUUCAGCUAAGGAUUAAGUUGAUCACCUGUAUAAGCUGCGCGUGAGACUGAUUCUAGGCGAGAUUGCCAGGGAGGUGUCUACAAGAGUAGUUCUGGUUAGAAUUGAUUUAUCCAGUUCAGUUGUACAAUAGAUUUAUUUAUUUGGUUAUCAGUUACUCUUGUUAUCGAGGUUUAACUGAUAAUGUAGUUUAAGUUGUAAUAAGAGUUGAUAGUUUUGGUUUCUGAUUUCAGUGCUGUAACCUAUUAGCGAUCCUGUUUUUAGGGGGUCAAAGUGAUUUUUAUUUGAAUCUCUUUUAAAAUGUUCA